UACAGAGGUCCCAAGCGUUGUUCGGAAUCACUGGGCUUAAAGGGCGCGUAGGUGGUUGAUCAAGUCUGGGGUGAAAUCUUUCGGCUUAACCGGAAAAGUGCCUUGGAUACUGGUCAGCUGGAGGGAGGUAGGGGCAGUUGGAACUUCCAGUGGAGCGGUGAAAUGCGUUGAUAUUGGAAGGAACGCCGGUGGCGAAAGCGAACUGCUGGACCUCUUCUGACACUGAUGCGCGAAAGCUAGGGGAGCAAACGGG
rnacentral:rRNA from 1 species